rnacentral:rRNA from 1 species
UACGGAGGGUGCAAGCGUUAUCCGGAUUCACUGGGUUUAAAGGGUGCGUAGGUGGGCAGGUAAGUCAGUGGUGAAAUCUCCGAGCUUAACUCGGAAACUGCCGUUGAUACUAUUUGUCUUGAAUAUUGUGGAGGUAAGCGGAAUAUGUCAUGUAGCGGUGAAAUGCUUAGAUAUGACAUAGAACACCAAUUGCGAAGGCAGCUGGCUAUACAAAAUAUUGACACUGAGGCACGAAAGCGUUGGGGGAUCAAAACAGGG